AGAUUGAACGCUGGCGGCAGGCCUAACACAUGCAAGUCGAGCGGUAGAGAGGUGCUUGCAUCUCUUGAGAGCGGCGGACGGGUGAGUAAUGCCUAGGAAUCUGCCUAGUGGUGGGGGAUAACGUUCGGAAACGGACGCUAAUACCGCAUACGUCCUACGGGAGAAAGGCGGGGACCUUCGGGCCUCGCGCCAUUAGAUGAGCCUAGGUCGAUUAGCUAGUUGGUGAGGUAAUGGCUCACCAAGGCGACGAUCCGUAACUGGUCUGAGAGGAUGAUCAGUCACACUGGAACUGAGACACGGUCCAGACUCCUAGGGAGCAGCAGUGGGAAUAGUUAGGACAAGUGGGACGUAAAGCCUGAUCCGAGCCAGUCGCCGUCGUGU
rnacentral:rRNA from 1 species